rnacentral:rRNA from 1 species
ACACCAGCGCCACGAGUGGCAAUCGCGUUUAUUGGGCCUAAAGCGUCCGUAGCCUGUUUAGAAAGUCUCUUGUGAAAUCGUUGGGCUUAACUCAGCGGCUUGCAGGAGAUACUACUAGGCUUGAGACCGGGAGGAGUCAGAGGUAUUCUGUGGGGAGCGGUAAAAUGCUAUAAUCCAUGGAGGACCACCGAUGGCGAAGGCAUCUGACUAGAACGGAUCUGACGGUGAGGGACGAAAGCCAGGGGAGCAAACCGGAUUAGAAACCCGAGUAGUCC